rnacentral:ncRNA from 1 species
UCGAUAGAGGCGCGGGAUCCAUCAGUAGCGCCGCCGAGCCCCUCCAGGGGCGGCGACGGGGCGCGAAAGGGGAAACCGCCGAAAUCCGGGGCGGCUGGAGGCGCGCCGGGUUGGGGGACCGCAGAACAUGCGGUUCACUGUCACAACUCCUGUUGUGGAGCGCUAUCU